rnacentral:rRNA from 1 species
UACGUAGGGUGCGAGCGUUGUCCGGAAUUAUUGGGCGUAAAGAGCUCGUAGGCGGUUUGUUGCGUCGGCUGUGAAAACCUGCGGCUUAACUGUGGGCUUGCAGUCGAUACGGGCAGACUUGAGUUCGGCAGGGGAGACUGGAAUUCCUGGUGUAGCGGUGAAAUGCGCAGAUAUCAGGAGGAACACCGGUGGCGAAGGCAGUUCUCUGGGCCGUAACUGACGCUGAGGAGCGAAAGCGUGGGGAGCGAACAGG